rnacentral:rRNA from 1 species
GACGAACGCUGGCGGCGUGCCUAACACAUGCAAGUCGAGCGGGGAAAAUUGGAAAGCUUGCUUUCUGGUUUUCUAGCGGCGGACGGGUGAGUAACGCGUGAGCAAUCUGUCUCAAACAGGGGGAUAACGCAGCGAAAGUUGUGCUAAUACCGCAUAAGACCACAGUGCCGCAUGGUACAGGGGUCAAAGGAGCAAUCCGGUUUGAGGUGAGCUCGCGUCCCAUUAGGUAGUUGGUGAGGUAACGGCCCACCAAGCCUACGAUGGGUAGCCGACCUGAGAGGGUGAUCGGCCACACUGGAACUGAGACACGGUCCAG